GUGUUCGAGUAAUCGCUGUGUGUAACAGCACAGAGGAAAGUCCAUGCUCACACAGUCUGAGAUGACUGUAGUGUUCGUGCCUGACGAAAUCAUAAGUCAGGGUAGCCUGUAAGGCUAACGGCAGAAGGAACGCCUAAGUCUGUGAAGAUAUGGCGGACACUUCUUGAAAGUGCCACAGUGACGGAGCUUUUUUGGAAACAAAAAAGGUGGAACGAGGUAAACCCCGCGAGUGAGAAACCCAAAAUUAGGUAGGGGCACUUCUGCAAAGGAAAUGAACGGAGCAGAAGGCGGAUUAUUAUCCGCAGACAGAUGAUUACUGCUUUCGUACGAGGGUGACUCCCGUAUGCAGUACGGAGUAACAGAACAUGGCUUACGGAG
rnacentral:RNase_P_RNA from 1 species